UACGAAGGGGGCUAGCGUUGUUCGGAAUUACUGGGCGUAAAGCGUGCGCAGGCGGUUUUGUAAGCCAGGUGUGAAAUCCCCGGGCUCAACCUGGGAAUGGCAUUUGGGACUGCAAGGCUGGAGUGCGGCAGAGGAGACUGGAAUUCCUGGUGUAGCAGUGAAAUGCGUAGAUAUCAGGAGGAAUACCGAUGGCGAAGGCAGCUCGCUGGGACGUGACUGACGCUGAGACGCGAAAGCGUGGGGAGCAAACAGG
rnacentral:rRNA from 1 species